AGAUGAUAGAUGAACUGACAUCUCUCACCUGCUCGUUCACCAGAUUCUAUUCUUUCUGCUAAUCUGAUUGGUGGAGUGGAUAUCUCUUUCUUUCUUCUCUAUACCGUAUGUGUCUUAUCUGAAACAGUUCACUCAAUCAAAAAAGAUUACCAUUUUUUAAUAGAAGAAGACCUUCUUUUCUUUGGCAGAUGGGUAUAUGAGUUAAGACUUUCUCCUGCUAGAAUUUCCACCAAGGUUUAGCACAUCCACAGCUGUUAGACCUAUAGGAAUUAAACUUAAAAUAAUUCCUUAUUAGGUCACUAAACCUGAAUGUAGACUGUCAUGUACAGAUACUAG
ensembl:misc_RNA 7SK 7SK RNA